CGAGGGACCCGCAACUCUGAGCCUCACCGUGCGCCAGCAUCCCGCGGGUCCCGAAGGCGCCCUUGCCUGCCCGGGGACCUCAGCCUAGGCUGAAGCCCAGUGUAGGGGUCGAGGGAGUCUGUGGGUGUGGGUGCGGUAGAGUGGGUGUGAGCGAGUGAGGGCGUGGGCCUGGGAGCGUCCGCGGGACCUGGCAGCUCAAGCUGCCCUGUCCUUUCCGCCCCCUCUCCCUUGCCCCUUAUCCUUUUACCCAAACUCCUUGGGCAGGGACUGGGCAACAGAGAACGAGAUUCCCACUCCAUUUUUUUUUUAAAGAAAAACUUAGUAGCCUCUGUUUUGUUUUUUGGUUUUAAUUCUUUUUAGCUUUAACGAGUAAGGGCUGCACUCCCGGCUCGGUUUUGAUAAUUAGACUCCAGACACCCCCCGCCCCCACUGCCUCAGUGCUCAUUCGGCGGAAACACCUACGAGGGGAUGCGCUCCCCCUUCCCCCAAAGCCAGACCACCGGGGUCCGGCCUUCGCUUUCCUGGCUCGCUGUGGAUAUAUAUAUAUAUAUAUAUAUAUAUAUAUAUAUAUAUAUAUAUAUAAUAUGUGUUUUUUUCUGCGCCGCCAGAACAGCAUCAGCUGGGGUUCCCGGAGGUCAGAAAAUGUCUAUUGAUUAAUCUAUUAGAAUAGUUGCCGAGAGAAAUAAAAACGACGUAAUAUAACAGGGAACCCAUAAAUAAAGAAGCCUAACUAGCUGCUGGGAGUUGUUAAACGACUUAGCAUGUGAAAAAGUCGGAAAUGAGGUGCUGGGGAAGGAGCCGGGAUUGGCCGCGGCCUGGGACUUAGAUAAACCCUCCAAGAUUUAACUUCCUCGGAAACCAUCAGAAGAGCGGGUGGAGGAGGAGGCGAGGAUGCGGCCAGUGCACAGCGAGUUUCCCGGGCAAGGAAAGUCAGUGAUGGCUCCGAACCGAUUACGAUGCCAUCUAGACAGCCUCGGGUGAAACCGACCAGAGCGGCGAGGUGGCCACCCACUUCCCCCAGCUGCAGAGGUCGCGGCUGCAACUGUCUGAGCAACCCAGUCCUUACAAAAGGAAGGUCCGAAGGACAAAAACGAACAAAAAAAAGAAACCGAAAUUUACAAAUUCAGAAAUAUCUUUUGCUCGGCUUCGGUUGUCCAGCCCCAGAGGCAGUCCGCGCGGGCCGCUGGAAGAGGCUGGGCCGGCGAGGACAAGUGCACGUGUGUGUGCGCGCACAGGGGAGGGUGGCGGCUCCAGGGGCAGCCCUCCGCAAUCUUCUUGAAGUAGCCUCUUAAAUGAGCCUAAUUUCGAUUCCACUGCCCGCCAGGGCUGUCUCUCAGGCUCCCUCGGCGCUGCUGCUCUCUGCCUCUCACCCUCCCCCGGCCAAGACUUGUCCUGAUCCGUCCAUUCCCCGGUGUCUCAUUGGAACCUCCCUGGGGGAAAGGGUGGGGGAUGAACAACUCCCAGCCGCCAAUUCCAUUUGUU